rfam:Clostridium sp. CAG:470 genomic scaffold, scf34
GUUAUUUGAAGUGGACAAUAGUGCCAUCCACACACCCUAGUGGUCAAAAGAGAUGCAGGAUUUGGCACACCUGCCAAAUAAC